ACUGGAGUCUGCAACCCGACUCCACGAAGCUGGAUUCGCUAGUAAUCGCGCAUCAGCCACGGCGCGGUGAAUACGUUCCCGGGCCUUGUACACACCGCCCGUCAAGCCAUGGGAGCCGGGGGUACCUGAAGUGCGUAACCGCGAGGGUCGGCCUAGGGUGAAACCGGUGAUUGGGGCUAAGUCGUAACAAGGUAAC
rnacentral:rRNA from 1 species